CUACGGGUCGCAGCAGUGAGGAAUCUUCCGCAAUAGGCGAAAGCCUGACGGAGCGACACCGCGUGGAGGAUGAAGGCGUUUUCGUUGUAAACUCCUUUUCUGAGGGAAUAAAUGAUGAAGUUACCUCAGGAAUAAGCACCGGCUAACUACGUGCCAGCAGCCGCGGUAAUACGUAGGGUGCAAGCGUUAUCCGGAAUCAUUGGGCGUAAAGCGUUCGUAGGCGGUUAAGCAAGUUUGCGGUUAAAUCCGGUCGCUCAACGAUCGAAUCGUCGCAAAAACUACUUGACUAGAGUAAGGCAGAGGCAACUGGAAAUCCGCAUGUAGGGGUAAAAUCCGUUGAUAUGCGGAGGAACACCAAAAGCGAAGGCAGGUUGCUGGGCCUUUUCUGACGCUGAGGAACGAAAGCGUGGGGAGCAAACAGGAUUAGAUACCCUUGUAGUC
rnacentral:rRNA from 1 species